rnacentral:rRNA from 1 species
AGAGUUUGAUCCUGGCUCAGAACGAACGCUGGCGGCGUGCUUAACACAUGCAAGUCGAACGUGAUCCAGAGCUUGCUCUGGUGAAAGUGGCGCACGGGUGAGUAACGCGUGGAUAACCUGCCCUGGUAUCUGGGAUAACAUCUCGAAAGGGGUGCUAAUACCGGAUAAGCCUACGGGGUCCUCGGACUCUGCAGGAAAAGGUGGCCUCUAUUUAUAAGCUACCGUAUCAGGAUGGGUCCGCGUACCAUUAGCUAGUUGGUGGGGUAAUGGCCAACCAAGGCGACGAUGGUUAGCUGGUCUGAGAGGAUGAUCAGCCACACUGGAACUGAGACACGGUCCAGACUCCUAGGGGAGGCAGCAGUGGGGAAUUUUGCGCAAUGGGGGAAACCCUGACGCAGCAACGCCGCGCGAGUGAUGAAGGCUUUCGGGUCGUAAAGCUCUGUCAGAGGGGAAGAAAUGAGCCUGGCUAAUAUCCAGGUUUCUUGACGGUACCCUCAAAGGAAGCACCGGCUAACUCCGUGCCAGCAGCCGCGGUAAUUC